AUGCUGACAAAGGCGCAAUGGACCGCUCUAUCGAAACAAAAGCAAGGCGGAUCCAAGAGCAGUGGCAAGAAGAAGGGGAAGGGGAAGCAGCGCUCGACGAGAAAGAAUUUCGCCGACUCGGAGGACGAGGAUGCGACUGCACCACCAAGGAGGAAGUUUGACAUCAGAAAAGUGAGGUAUCAUAAGUGUGGCCUCCUCGGUGACUUCAAGGCUGAUUGCGAGGAAGCACCGAAGCAACGGGCGCUCAUGGCUGAGGAAGGAGACGACAGGGAUAUGAUGCUGAUGUGCGAGCUAGUGGACAAGGUGGAUCUAGAUGAUCACGAUCAGCUGGAGACAGGUCCGGUGAGUGCAUCUGUGUCGAUGGAACCAGUCGAUUUUGUGGCGCCAGAAGAUCAUGACACAAGGCAUGAUGGUGUGGUCAUGCUAGUAAAACCAGCCGAAUUCGUGGCGCCAGAAGACCAUGAUGCAAGGCGUGACGGUCUAAUCACGGUAGAACCAGGCGAACACGUGGCGCCAGAAGUCCACGACUCAAGACGCGAUGGUGUGGUCGCACAAGAAGUAGGCAAAGGUGUGGCGCUAGAAGUCCACGACAUACACUGUCUCGUUAAGGUCGUACCUGAGACGAACCAAGACACGCGGCGAGUUGCAGUCGGACCAGAUGCUCAUAGUGCCAUGACGAGUUACGAGGACAUCACCCAUCGUUGUGCAUCCAACGUGGCCAGUCCAGGUGCUAGUGGCGUUGUGCGCACCACGGCGAGCAGCACUAGCGGUGCGGCAAGACAAGUUCAAGCAAGCAACAGCUCGUUUGAAAGUAGUCAACUACCACGUGGUGGCCAAUAA
rnacentral:rRNA from 1 species